rnacentral:rRNA from 1 species
AGUGAACGCUGGCGGUAUGCCUAACACAUGCAAGUCGAACGGCAGCACAGUAAGAGCUUGCUCUUACGGGUGGCGAGUGGCGGACGGGUGAGGAAUACAUCGGAAUCUACUUUUUCGUGGGGGAUAACGUAGGGAAACUUACGCUAAUACCGCAUACGACCUACGGUUGAAAGCAGGGGAUCUUCGGACCUUGCGCGAUUGAAUGAGCCGAUGUCGGAUUAGCUAGUUGGCGGGGUAAAGGCCCACCAAGGCGACGAUCCGUAGCUGGUCUGAGAGGAUGAUCAGCCACACUGGAACUGAGACACGGUCCAGACUCCUACGGGAGGCAGCAGUGGGGAAUAUUGGACAAUGGGCGCAAGCCUGAUCCAGCCAUACCGCGUGGGUGAAGAAGGCCUUCGGGUUGUAAAGCCCUUUUGUUGGGAAAGAAAAGCAGCAGGUUAAUACCACGCUGUUCUGACGGUACCCAAAGAAUAAGCACCGGCUAACUUCGUG